GAUGAACGCUAGCUACAGGCUUAACACAUGCAAGUCGAGGGGAAACGGCAUCGAAAGCUUGCUUUUGAUGGGCGUCGACCGGCGCACGGGUGAGUAACGCGUAUCCAACCUGCCCAUCACUUGGGAAUAACCUUGCGAAAGUAAGACUAAUGCCCAAUGACAUCCCACGAAGGCAUCCGAAUGGGAUUAAAGAUUUAUCGGUGAUGGAUGGGGAUGCGUCUGAUUAGCUUGUUGGCGGGGUGACGGCCCACCAAGGCAACGAUCAGUAGGGGUUCUGAGAGGAAGGUCCCCCACAUUGGAACUGAGACACGGUCCAAACGUCUACGGGAGGCAGCAGUGAGGAAUAGUGGUCAAUGGGCGAGAGCCUGAACCAGCCAAGUAGCGUGCAGGAUGACGGCCCUAUGGGUUGUAAACUGCUUUUAUAAGGGAAUAAAGUGGGUCACGUGUGACUUUUUGCAUGUACCUUAUGAAUAAGGACCGGCUAAUUCCGUG
rnacentral:rRNA from 1 species